UAUUAAAUAUGAAAAGAGAGUCAUGCGCUAAGAUGACUCUCAAGUAUAAGCCCAUUUAAGGUGGCAGCUAGCUUAAUAGAUUAUAAA
rnacentral:sRNA from 1 species